rnacentral:tRNA from 1 species
GCAGCGGUAGCUCAGCUGGUAGAGCUCUGGUUUGAAGCACCAGGAGUCAGAGGUUCGAUUCCUCUUCGCUGCACCA